GGCGAGUGAACCGGGAUGAGCUCAAAUUUAAAAUCUGGCGUCUUUCAGGCGUCCGAGUUGUAAUCUAUAGAGGCGUUUUCCGCGCCGGACCGCGUCCAAGUCUCUUGGAAUAGAGUAUCAAAGAGGGUGACAAUCCCGUACUUGACGCGACAACCGGUGCUCUGUGAUACGUUCUCAAUGAGUCGAGUUGUUUGGGAAUGCAGCUCUAAAUGGGUGGUAAAUUCCAUCUAAGGCUAAAUAUUGGCGAGAGACCGAUAGCGAACAAGUACCGUGAGGGAAAGAUGAAAAGCACUUUGGAAAGAGAGUUAAACAGCACGUGAAAUUGUUAAAAGGGAAACGAUUGAAGUCAGUCGUGUGAAAGGUAUUCAGCCGUCUCUGGCGGUGUAUUUGCCUUUCACGGGUCAACAUCAGUUUGAUCCGGUAGAAAAAGGCGGGAGGAAGGUGGCACCCUCGGGUGUGUUAUAGCCUCCUGUCAUAUGUGCCGGACCAGACUGAGGAACGCAGCUUGCCGCAAGGCCGGGGUUCGCCCACGUACAAGCUUAGGAUGUUGACAUAAUGGCUUUAAACGA
rnacentral:rRNA from 1 species